rnacentral:lncRNA from 9 species
CUAGCUUCAGGCUGCAGGGGAUGCAGGGGUGGGGGGCGGUGGGGGGGGGUGUAGAGUCCAGCUUUCCCUCAGCCCCGUCUAGUGUCCAGAGGCCAGAUCCAUGAGCAGAAGGCCAUUGUAGGAGUUCCCAUCUUGGCUUAGUGGUUAAUGAAUCAGACUAGGGACCAUGAGGUUGUGGGUUCGAUCCCUGGCCUCGCUCAGUGGGUUAAGGAUCCGGCGUUGCUCUUAGCUGUGGUGUGUAGGUUGCAGACGCGCCUCAGAUCCCGCGUUGCUGUGGCUCUGGCAUAGGCCAGCAGCUGCAGCUCCGAUUAGACCCCUAGCCUGGGAACCUCCAUAUGCCACUGGUGCGGCCCUAAAAGGACAAAAAAAAAAAAAAUAAGUCCAUUGUAGUUUCCACUGUGGUUCCUCUGUGGUCUGUUUCACAAGAAUGGAGGCUGGGACACCAUUGGUUCAGUCCUCAGUGAGCAUCUUCUGGGAACUUGCCAGCCCACGUGCACAAGAUCAAGGUGCCCUCACUUUCACCCGGAUGCAAGAGUGCACUGCAGGAGGGCCACACGGGGACCUAGCUGCACACUCUGAACUGGGUUCCUCUUGGACACCAGGCAUCCUUCUUAGAACUGAGACCUCAACAGUGAACGAGGUGGGAGUGAGAGCUCCAGCAGAAGAAGGCAGGAUACUCCGGUUGACUCAGUCUGCCCCCCACCUAUUCCCAGCCCUGAUGGCCUCAGCCUGCAGCCUGCACUGCCAAAGGCUGAGGCAUGUCCAGGCUGCUGUGGUCACCUGUACCAUUUUUCAAGGGGUUGCAAAAGCUGAACUCAACACAGGGCCUUAGUCAGUUUUUUAAAAUUAAAGUAUAAUUGAUUUACAAUGUUUCUUCAAUAUCUGUUGAAUAGCAAAAUAACUUAGUCACACUCUGCACUGUACAGGAGGGUCCUAUUGCCCAUCCAUUCCAAAUAUAAGAGUUUGCAUUAGUCAAUUUGGGUGUAACCUACUGAAAUCAACAUGACCUUGGCCUUUUUUCAUGGAUGUAGGUAAGGCACAUUAAAUUUUUUACUUUGCAAAUGAAAACAGGAAUAGAUUAACAGAAGAAAAAUAACAUAGACAGUCUUUUCCACCUCUCCCUGGGCUAACUAACCCAUAAGCUGAGCAAGUGGGAGAACCUUGAUGGGUGAUGCAUACAUGCUUUUGGUGUAAUUGGGUCUGUUUUCCGGUAAAGACAGCUGAACGCUAAAGUCUGAGCACUGUACUCUAAGAAAUCCCCACAGGCUUGUCAACUGAACCAAUGGGGGAACAGAGGCUCAGUAAAACUUGGGCAUAAUCUAUGCGUCAGAGUUGAUCAAAAUUAUGACUUGGAGGGGAUUUUAAUUAUGGAAAGCCAACCAAAACGCUAUCUUGAAAAACAAACUAUGACGUUGACAGUAUCGAGACACAAAGUGACACUGGCUGGCUUUAGCCGUCUCUUUGUCCAUUGUCCUUCCUUUGUCAAUAGGAGAAAUAAUUGGCCAUUUUAGCACAGAGUUGGGGACAAAGUUAGUAAAGGAAAUACUGAAGCUGCAGUUAAUGCCAAUCCUUUGAAAUUUUAGAAAGACUACAGAAUGUAGAGAAUAUUGAGAAUUACAGAACAUAGAGAGGGAGAGAAGGAGGAUGAGAAGGAAGGGCGAUGAGAAAUCGUGAGAGAAUUUAUGGGUUGAAAGAUAGCUUCCACAGAGUCUGCAGGUUUGGUUUAGAAGACAGAGCUAGGAAGGAGG